rnacentral:rRNA from 1 species
GACGAACGCUGGCGGCGUGCCUAAUACAUGCAAGUAGAACGCUGAAGGAGGAGCUUGCUUCUCUGGAUGAGUUGCGAACGGGUGAGUAACGCGUAGGUAACCUGCCUGGUAGCGGGGGAUAACUAUUGGAAACGAUAGCUAAUACCGCAUAAUAGUAGAUGUUGCAUGACAUUUGCUUAAAAGGUGCAAUUGCAUCACUACCAGAUGGACCUGCGUUGUAUUAGCUAGUUGGUGGGGUAACGGCUCACCAAAGUGACGAUACAUAGCCGACCUGAGAAGGUGAUCGGCCCCACUGGGACUGGGACACGGCCCAGACUCCUACGGGAGGCAGCAGUAGGGAAUCUUCGGCAAUGGACGGAAGUCUGACCGAGCAACGCCGCGUGAGUGAAGAAGGUUGUCGGAUCGUAAAGCUCUGUUGUAAGAGAAGAACGAGUGUGAGAGUGGAAAGUUCACACUGUGACGGUAUCUUACCAGAAAGGGACGGCUAACUACGUG